rnacentral:tmRNA from 1 species
GGGGGCGACAGGUUUCGACGGGCCGGAUUGUUGCUCCUGUGGCGCGCCGAGGACCCCGGUUGGCCUCGUUAAACACCCGGGAAAAAACACAAAAGCCAAUUCAGAAUUGGCCCUCGCGGCUUAAUUGCCGCGACGUCUUACUGCCGACGAUCCGCUAAGCAGACUAAGGCGACGUGAGCGGGUUAGUGGUUACGCCGCGCGACCGGGCGUGACCGCAAAACAAACAGGUAGCUGGCUGUAGGCAGCAUGCCUGCCGGCUGGCGGCGCCCGCAGCGAGACUAAAAAGACCGGACACGCGCGUAGAGGCAGGCGCAGCACUUGCUCGGACGGGGGUUCGAAUCCCCCCGCCUCCAUUC